rnacentral:rRNA from 1 species
GUGUCAGCAGCCGCGGUAAGACGAACCGUGCGAACGUUGUUCGGAAUCACUCGGCUUAAAGGGCGCGUAGGCGGCUUGCCAAGUCAGUGGUGAAAUCCUGCAGCUUAACUGCAGAAGUGCCUUUGAUACUGGCGAGCUCGAGGGAGGUAGGGGUAUGCGGAACUUCUGGUGGAGCGGUGAAAUGCGUUGAUAUCAGAAGGAACGCCGGUGGCGAAAGCGGCGUACUGGACCUCUUCUGACGCUGAGGCGCGAAAGCUAGGGGAGCAAACGGGAUUAGAUACCCUCGUAGUCC